rnacentral:rRNA from 1 species
UACGUAGGGUGCAAGCGUUGUCCGGAAUUACUGGGCGUAAAGGGCGCGUAGGCGACAUAUUAAGUCAUCUGUGAAAUCUCCGAGCUUAACUCGGAACUGUCAGCUGAUACUGAUGUGCUAGAGUGCGGAAGGGGCAAUCGGAAUUCUUGGUGUAGCGGUGAAAUGCGUAGAUAUCAAGAGGAACACCUGAGGUGAAGACGGGUUGCUGGGCCGACACUGACGCUGAGUGCGCGAAAGCCAGGGGAGCAAACGGG